rnacentral:rRNA from 1 species
GGGGGGACAUGCGCUGCUACACAUGCAGUCGAACGAGAAGUUGGCCUUCGGGCCAAUAGAGAGUGGCAAACGGGUGAGCAUUGCGUGGAUAAUGUGCCCAAGGGUUGGGGAUAACCCGCCGAAAGGCGAGCUAAUACCGAAUACGUUCGCGAAAACUUCGGUUUUUGUGAAGAAAGGGGGCUUGCUCCCGCCCAUGGAUCGGUCCGCGUUCCAUCAGCUAGUUGGUGGGGUAAUGGCCUACCAAGGCAACGACGGAUAGCUGGUCUGAGAGGAUGAUCAGCCACACUGGGACUGAGAUACGGCCCAGACUCCUACGGGAGGCAGCAGUGGGGAAUAUUGGACAAUGGGCGCAAGCCUGAUCCAGCAAUGCCGCGUGAGCGAUGAAGGCCUUCGGGUUGUAAAGCUCUGUCGGGGGGGAUGAAAAAAUCGCGUAACCCGCGAUCUUGACAGUACCCUCAAAGGAAGCACCGGCUAACUCCGUGCCAGCAGCCGCGGUAAUACGGAGGGUGCAAGCGUUGUUCGGAAUUACUGGGCGUAAAGAGCGUGUAGGCGGUCUGUUAAGUCGGGUGUGAAAGCCCUGGGCUCAACCCAGGAACUGCAUUCGAAACUGGCAAACUGGAGUGUCGGAGAGGGUGGUAGAAUUCCCGGUGUAGAGGUGAAAUUCGUAGAGAUCGGGAGGAAUACCGGUGGCGAAGGCGGCCACCUGGAAGAUAACUGACGCUGAGACGCGAAAGCGUGGGGAGCAAACAGGAUUAGAUACCCUGGUAGUCCACGCCGUAAACGAUGAGUGCUAGACGUUGCGGGUAUUGAUCCCUGCAGUGUCGAAACCUACGCAUUUAACACUCCGCCUGGGGAGUACGGUCGCAAGACUAAAAUUCAAA